UAACAGAGUUCCCAGUUUUCAUAAAAAGACGUGGCUUUGUCGGACACUGGCAUGCUUAUGGACAGUACUUGCUUUGUGCUGUGGCUGGGGUAUAAUGUGGGGAGGGGAGACCUGAGUGACAGGACUUCACUUUCUCUGCAGGUUUGAAAUGCUCCUUCCUUAGCUCGGAGAGUGGAAAGUUCCCCUGGUGCUUGGGAGUGAGAGUUAGGGUGUGAUAACCAGGGACAGAGUGGCUGCACUUGGCCUGCCCGGAGUUGGGAAGCCGGGUCAGAAGAAGCACACUGCACCAGCAUCGGCCCUCCCAGCUGGCCGCUGGGUGCCAGGACUGUAAGAGGAGACUUCUGCAUGUCUGUGAGCAGCUGCUGCACGUUUCCUUUUCCUGGAAUCAGUGUUAGAAACCCUAGAGAACUAUGGCCCGUGUCCGACUUUGUAGAAAAUGGGAAAAGCGGGCAGUGUGGGUUUUACAGUACAUCCCCUGAGGCUGAAAGAUACACCAUUCUCCUCCUAGAGUUCACUUUGAAUUGUGUAAAUGUGUAGGUUUUACUGAGUAAUUUGCAAAUGUACAUGUGAUCACAAAAGCAAUUAAAAUACCAAGCCUCAGGACUCAAAGCAUCAAUGUUCAAAGUUUUCUGCAGACAGAUAUAAUCCAGAAAGCUCCCGUAGAAGAGGUGUGCUGUGCGUGCCAGAAAGAGGGAAUGCCAGAACCAUGCCAAGAGCGCACGUGGAGGCCGAGCCAGGGCUAGCUCUGCUGAGCACGUGUGUGCUGGCAUGCAGCUAGUGGGCACGCAGGUGCUUAGCAGGGAGCCGAGUGUCCUGUGACAGAUGAAGAGCUCAGAGAGGCAUCUAUGCUCCCUGCAUCUGUCAGUGAGUUUGAAAGCCUCACCAGCCCCACAGAGCAGCUUCCAGGCUUGUUGGAGUCUUCAUGUGUCUGUGUCCAGUGGCAGCCCAGUGGGUGCGGCCUCAUUUGCAGAAUGCCCAGUCCAUGUGACCACAGCGGCCUGGCUCUGUGCAGGCUCCCUGAGCCCUCACUGGCAGGCCUCUCCUCCUUGGACUGGGUACUCAGUCAGACCUCCCAAGGGGUGCGUUCUGUGAGUUUUAUUUUGGGUCUUCGACGUGAAAAGCGCGGAGGUGAAUAUCCACAGCUGAGUCAAGAGGGUCUGCCGGCCAGGUGUCGGAGUAACAGACGCAUGUAGGGAAUGGGAUCGCUGCGGCAGAAGCUGGGCAGGUGCCCUACCUGUCCCUUCCCGAUGGCCACUUUGGUUGGGCACCUGCGAUGGGAGCUUGACCUUCCCUGUGCCUUCUCACCGUGGGAGGCUCUGCAGAGCCAGUUCUGUGCUGGUUGCUGCAAGGACUCCUGACGGCUGUGCCUUGUCUUGCCGUCCUUCCUCCUGUCCAGGGCCUCCGGCACGUCUAAGACAGACGAUGGGUGGGUCUCGUCUCCCAGGGCAGGAGCCUGCCUGCUGUGUGUAUUUUCAGGGGAGGGCUCAGUCACAUGACUGCUGUACAGUGCUCUGGCUGUCUUUGCGUUGCUGCCUGUUCAGUGAGUAGAGCUUUGCUCUUGUAACUUCUGAUAUGAUAAGAUUUCCUUUUACGCAAGCAGAGGUCGUGUCUCCAGGGGAAGAGGUUGUGUUAUCUACUAGUGCACGACAGAUCCCUGCAAAACGCUGCAGCUGAGGGCAGCACACAGGCAGCAACACGCAGUGUGGGUCUGGAGCCGGUGGAGCGGGCGUGGUGCUGCCAGGCACUCUGCCGCAGGGCCUCCGCAAGGCCCAGCCGGGUAUCGGCCAGGACUGUGGAGGAGCCGUCCUCACACUGGCCUGUCUGGGGUUGGUGGCUUCAGCUCCUCACAGCAUUGGGUUGUAGACUGCCGACAGGCCUUGCCAUAUAGUGUUUCCCACGGGUCGGCUUGCUUCGUGAGAGCCAACGAGAGCAAGCCUGAUGGGUGGACAGAAGCCACCAUCAUCUGUAAGCUAGCUGUGGACGUCCUCUUGGCCUGGCUGUAGGGCUUGUUAGAAGCAAAUCCCUGUCCCAUUCCCUGCUGGAAGACAGAGCACAGACGGCCUGGGCAGCCAGAGGCGGGCAUCACUGUGCCAUCUGAGGCUAAUCGCCACAGACGGUGAGUAGCACACAGUCACCCAACCCCUCCAGCACAUGCAGACAGCUCCAGGAACAAGUGCAGCUGUUGGGUUGCAGCUGGGGAAGCUCAUCCUCUGUCCCUCAGUUCCUUCACAUGCCUUGCACGCGUGCUUUACGUGGGCACGGGGCGGGUGCUGUCUGCCAUAGUAGAUGGAGGUUGAGGAACUCUGUCAUUAGGGUGUGGCACGGUUCAGUCUGUGAGAGCUGUGUGCAGGGAGCUGGGGGCCAGUGCAGACAGCGAGCGCCCUGGCUGCAUCCUCCGUGUGGCCGGGCUCACCAGCUGUGAGCAAUGCUGGCGCUGAGGUUCCUGGGGACGAGCGGACAUUCGGGAGAGAGGCAGUGAGGCAGGAGGGUGAUGUUUCAGAAGGCAGGCACGGGGUGUGCGUGGUGUACGGUAGCAGCCUUGGCCCUCCAGGAAAUUCUGAGGCACGUUCUGUGCUCCUGAGGCACUGCAGCCAGUCUGUGCACAUCGCAGUGAAGCUCCGUGUUAGUGGCUUGUUUUGUUUUAGUCAUAUGUUGUUUUCAAUUUUUGCCGAAAAGUUUGUUAAAUUGAUGGUUCUGCCAUCAGUGCAGGUCUAGAAUGAAUGUAAAAUGGUAUUUCAUUUAAAAGAAAACGGAAUACUUUGUUUAUGUUAUUGUAAUUCCAGCAAAAAAAAAUUCUCGGUGUGGCCGAACAAAAACUGAUCUUAGAGGCCAGGGCCGUGUGCGACCUGUGAUGCUGGCGUCCCGUAUGGGCACUGGUUCCAGUCCCAGCUGCUGCACUUCUAAUCCAGCUCCCUGCUAAUGUGAGAGAGCAGCGGAAGAUGGCCCAAGUGCUCGGUCCCUUGCCACCCACAUGGAAAACAUAGAUGCAGGUAGAGAAUCCUGGUCUCACCUAGCCCAGCCCAGCUUUUUUGGCCAUCUGGGCAAUGAGUCAGUGAUAGAAGAGUUUCUCUUUCUUUCUCUUUGUCAUUCUUUCAAAUAAGUAAACCUUUUAGGGAAAAAAGGGUGAUCUUAAAGAUUUUCUAGAACAAAUCAUUGAAUUACUAGAGGCAUUUACUUUAAUUUUUUUCCUUUUUAUAUAAAGGGAACAUAUUUCAAGUAUUUCAUAUACAGGUUUAAGAAUAUAAUAAUUCUUUCCACCCUACCUUCCCUUUCUCACCCUCACCCUCCCUCCCUCCUUUUCUUGUUUUUUUUUAAUUUUUUCAGUUACAUACUUUCAGUUUACUUUACAAUCACAAGCUCAACCCUCCAGUAAAUAAAGAGCUCAACAAGUAGGAAGUAGAAAAAGCGCAGUCCCUCAAGAGUAGAGUCAAGGACUAUAGACAAUAAUCAAAUGUAAAAAUGUCAAGUUCAUUUAUAAAUUACCUUUUUGUACCCUGCAAAUUAGUUAACACAAGUCAGGGAAAACAUAGUAUUUGUCUGUUGGGGGCUAGUUUAUUUCACUAAGUGUAAAGGCUUUUAAAAUGAUUUAUAUUCAUUUAUUUGAAAAGGGGAGAGAUAGGAGGAGAGUGAGAAAAUGGGGAGGGAGGCAAAAGGGGAGGUGAGGGGAGAUCUUGCUUCUGCUGGUUCACUCCCCAAAUGUCCAGAACACCCAAGGCUGGGCCAGGCCAAAGCCUGGAGCCAGUAACCCCAUCUUGGUCUCCCUCAUGGGUAACAGGAACUGAAGUACUUGAGUGAUCACCUGCUGUCUCCCAGGGCGUUCCUUAACAGGAAGCUGGACAGGACUGAGACUAUUCCGGACUUGAACUGGCUUGUUUUAUACAUGAGGCACAUGUAUAAUGUAAAGCUGCAUAUAUGUGCCCAUGCAGUGAGGCAGAAUACAGCAACCACAAGCCAGAACCAAAACAAGACAGGAGACGGCAGAGAGGCCCAGGGUCUUCUCCAUUUGUCUGAUGAAGCCAUGACUGCCCCCAUGCAGAUGGGGGCCUUGCAGUUGGAGGGAGGUCAGUGCUAGCCAGGAUUAGCCAAGGGGACCCCUCCAAGUGCACACGCCCUCCAAGGAGCAGAGCCUUCCCGUCUGGGGUCCCAGGCGUGUGCCUACGAGCCAUGGCUGGCAGUGUGGCAGGCAGUAGUGAGCACUGGAGUGCACAAGGCGGGAGUGAAGAAAGCCUCCAGAGGCUGAGAGGGAGAGGAACCAUCCCACCCAGGGCCCCAAGAGCAAGGCAGCCUGGUGCAGCCCCUGAUCACGUGGUGGACCCCAGGCGUGCUUCUCAGCCCUGUGGGACUCAGUCCCCAUGUGCUGUUUCAGGCUGCUGAGUACGGAGCAGUUUGCUGUGAUGCAGUGGAAUCUAAGGCACUUUGCUAUUAGCUAGCACUGUUGAUGCAUCUAAACUGUGUCAAAAAUGGUUCUCGGUUCCCACUGGUUUUCUUACUAUUUAGGAGAAGCCGGUGUUUGUGGAUAGAGUUAGGGGUGUCCAGUGUGCAUUUAUGUAGUCAUUCCUCAACCUAAUGUUGAUUCGCUUUUCAUAAUACAUAUUGCUGUGCUCCUUGUUUUUAUACCAUGUUUCUAGUCUGCACCUCAUGAGCAUAGACACGCGUGAUCAGGCACAAUAGACCAUGCAUUUACCCCAAACAGCACAUUGCUCACCUGCCUCUUUUUAAAGAGAUCUGGGCUUGAAAUUGAUAAACAAUGAUUUCGAAAGCACUGUUUUAAAAAUUUACUUAUAAAUGUAGGUAGUUCGGGAAUCAGAAUGCAAGCUUGAUGAGAACAACCUUUUGAUUCCAGAAGGCUCCAUGUCAGCCAAGUUGUGCCUGAGCCAUGAAUUACAGACCACUGAGCCACGCUGGCUCUCAGUGGAGACUGAUGUGGCUGUUGGGGCAUUUUAAAGAUUCAGCAUGUAAGAUGGUCACAUAUGAUGAAGGUUUGGAUUGCCAGCCAGAUUUUCAGGUUCUCACAUGUUAGUUCUGGGUCUGUGUUGCUGCACCUGAGCGGUGAAGUGGGGCUAAGACAGCAGUAGCCUCCCUGUGAGCGCACUGUUCACCUCCUCGUGGCCCAGCCCCGACACUCUGCAGUUCCAGGAAGAAAGCUGAAGUGCAGAUAAAUGCCAGACUUUUUAUCAGCAGUCUACCCCAUCUGUUUACUUGAUCUGUCUGAUCCAUGAUUUGAAGCACUUUUAGUCUGUAGAACUAAGUGAUCAUAAAUAUGGUCACUUGAGCCAUGAAGAUUUUAAUGUAGAAAUAACGUCAAGCCGGUUCCGCGGCUCAAAUAGGCUAAUCCUCCACCUACCGGCGCCAGCACACCGGGUUCUAGUCCUGGUCGGGGUGCCGGAUUCUGUCCCAGUUGCCCCUCUUCCAGGCCAGCUCUCUGCUGUGGCCAGGGAGUGCAGUGGAGGAUGGCCCAAGUGCUUGGGUCCUGCACCCCAUGGGAGACCAGGAGAAGCAUCUGGCUCCUGGCUUCGGAUCAGCAUGGUGCGCCGGCUGCAGCACGCCUGCCGCGGCGGCCAUUGGAGGGUGAACCAACGGCAAAGGACGACCUUUCUCUCUGUCUCUCUCUCUCACUGUCCACUCUGCCUGUAAAAAAAAAAAAAAAGAAAUAACGUCAAAGGGUUGGCCUCUUUAUAGGUCACAUCUCUACCAAAUCCCCAAGUCAUACUGAAAUAAACCUUGGAAGGACCAGCAGACACUUGGAGUCAGAGACGCAUGUCCACAUGCACAUUCACGUGUGUACACACGUGUGUACACACAGGCACAGACACACGUAUCUAUAGAGAGACAGAGAGCUCCCAUGUACUGGCUGACUCCCCAGAUGUCUGCAUUUGCUGUCUGGAGACCCAGGAGCCAGUAACUCUGUCCAGGUCGCCCACGUGGGUGGCAGGAACCCGGUACCAGAGCCAUCACCUGCUGCCUCCCUGGGUGGACGUUAUCAGGGAGCUGGAAUUGGAAGUGGGGCUGAACUCAAAUCCAGGCACUUCAAUGUAGGAUGCUGGUCCCAAGUAACUUAUUAACCAGUGUGCCAAAUGACCACCCCAGUUGGCCAGUUGGAAUAAUUCAGAGAAAUUUAAUUCUUUGGAAAUUUGCAGAACAAAUUGUUUAGACCAAGAUGCAUAGAACAUUCAUUGAUAAACUAGAAACAGUUCAUGAAGAUAAGCUGUUGGGAGCUGGAGAUUGUUUUAGUGCUGAAUGGCUAUGCAUUAGUCUGCCUGAGCUGCGUAGACCGGGCAGGGGCAACCUCAGAAACUCCUUUUCUCACUUUGCUGGAGGCUGGAAUUCCAGGUCAGGGCGGGUGCUCUUCUUAGGAUGGAGAACUGCUCUGGGGCCACAGCAGGGUGCGAUGUAGGGGCACCCAGUGCCCAGGUGAAGCUGGAUCUCUGCCCUCCAGCCACCCACUCUGCACUCAGGAUUCCUGGCAGAAACAUGCCAUGGUGUUAGCUGGUAUUGCAAGGCCUUGAACUUGUGCGUGGCAGGUGAUUGGUGGGAGUGGUCUCUUUGGGAUUCCAUGGUUGCUGAAGCCUCCGACCUCCUGUGGAGACUCAGGCAGUGGAUGCUGUUCCCAAAACAGCAAGGCAGUUCAGGUGCUGCGUGACAGGUGGAGGGAGGGUGCUUGGGUGCUGUUGCAAGGAGGCUCUGUCACGUUGAGGGCACUGUGGAAAGGCAGGUGCUGUUAUUGUUCUCACUGCCGUUGUCCCAGUGUGAACUUCCAUUUUCACCUGCACGUUUCAGAUACUCCACUACCUCCCUGCUGGUAAUUUUUUGGGCCUUCCUUAUGACCUCAGCUUUGUGCCCAGCACUGUUUUCCUAUGUGGUGUGGUCAUCUCCCUCUCAGGAAGCUUUGGUGACGGCAUCUCACGCAUAUCGGCACACGCACACAACUGAGCAAGACACCCUUGCAGCUUCACGUGUCUCCUAGGAAGUGCAGGCUCCUGCUGCGCUCUGCCAAGCUAGGAUGAGGUACCACACAGUAUGCAUGCGCUGACGGAACUGGCGUCAGCCCCUGUCCUCAAACUGGGGUGAGCUGCAGGUCUUCAGGGAUGAGGGCGAGGAGGGAAACAGGAUGUGAGUGACUGACAGUCAUCUGAAGUCUGUCAGCUGACUUCAAAACGUGCUUAGCUCUGCGUGGACUCGACAGAAGACUCUCCCUGGAGACUCCUGGUGGGAGGAGGCUUGAGCUUCCAACAGGUGUCUGUCCCUGUGUCCAGCUCUCCUCAUCAACCCCAGCUGCCCCUUCCACACAACGGGCCAUGUCCAAAGUCCUGGCGCCUCCACUGCCCCUUCCUGUCUCAGCCAGGGGGACACAGUGGUCACAUUGGUGAGGCCAGGAGCAGUGGCCACACCUCUCCUUUCACCCUUCCAACCACACUGCACACCAGCUAGUGACCAGCAGCCAAAUGACAGCACCUGCCUCUGUGGGAUUUCACGACCUGGCCUGUCCUACACUGUCCCAGAGGUGUCUUUGCUUGCAGUGGUUCUCACCGCACAACAGCUCCCUGUGCCUUUUCCCUCGCUCCCUGCGAAACUCCUCACCUUCCAUGGCUUCCUAAGCCUGGUCCCACCUGUGUGAAGCGUGAGUUAAUGUGAAGGUGUGAGUUAAUUUAGCAGCCAGUGGCAUGGAACACAUGGAUUUACCACUCACCUUGCAUGUCAUGGGAUGGCAUUUCAAUAGGUUCCUUCAUCUGCAUCUGCACAGUUCUGAAUCCAGCCCCUGCAGUUUUGUAUGAGUUGUUACACAUCUGUCUCCCCCAUUGGAUGAGCUGAUGCUUGAAGCCAGACUUCCUGUCCAUUCCUCUCCAGCAGCACAUUUCUCUAUUGCUAUAGGUGACAGAGCCAAGUCAGGGGGUUGAGUAACUGGGUGAGUCCUCAGGUGUGUGUGAGUGGGGUGAUUACCAGGUACUCAGGUGUGUGUGAGUGGGGUGAUUACCAGGUCCUCAGGUGUGUGAGUGGGGUGAUUACCAGGUACUCAGGUGUGUGUGAGUGGGGUGAUUACCAAGUCCUCAGGUGUGUGUGAGUGGGGUGAUUACCAAGUCCUCAGGUGUGUGUGAGUGGGGUGAUUACCUAGUCCUCAGGUAUGUGUGUGUGGUGACUGAGUCCUCAGGUGUGUGUGAGUAGGGUGAUUACCAGGUCCUCAGGUGUGUGUGAGUGGGGUGAUUACCAAGUCCUCAGGUGUGUGUGAGUGGGGUGAUUACCAGGUCCUCAGGUGUGUGUGAGUGGGGUGAAUACCAGGUCCUCAGGUGUGUGUGAGUGGGGUGAUUACCAGGUCCUCAGGUGUGUGUGAGUGGGGUGAUUACCAGGUCCUCAGGUGUGUGUGAGUGGGGUGAUUACCAAGUCCUCAGGUGUGUGUGAGUGGGGUGAUUACCAAGUCCUCAGGUGUGUGUGAUUGGGGUGAUUACCAAGUCCUCAGGUGUGUGUGAGUGGGGUGAUUACCAGGUACUCAGGUGUGUGUGAGUGGGGUGAUUACCAGGUCCUCAGGUGUGUGUGAGUGGGGUGAUUACCAGGUCCUCAGGUGUGUGUGAGUGGGGUGACUUUUCUGGGUCCUCAGGUGUGGGAGUAGUGACUCUCCUGUGUCCUCAGGUGACCAAGACCUCAGAUGUAAAAGUGAGGUCACUCACGUAAGUCCUGGGAUCUGUCAGUUGAAUAAGAUGACUGAGUCCUGGGACCCAAACCUGUGGUGGCUCUCAGGAGCCCUGCCUCAGAUGUGUAAUUGGGGUAACCAGCCUGACUUCUCAGGUUUUCCUCAUGCAGCAGGGUGGUGGUCUCUUAACCAUCAUUUGGCUACUGUCUUCCUCUGCCAUUUUCAGAAACUGAAACCAAGUCAGUUGCAGCAGUGUCCCAGGUUUGGAAGUGUGUCAGUGCCAGGGCUCCUGGUGGAGACAAGAUCGGUGUCCCGAGUAUCGUGACCUGGCAGGCGUGGAGCCGCAGCAGCGUUCAGCUCUCGGCGUUCAAGUUUCGCUGACUUCUUGAAGCGGAGCUUUGCUCCUCCUCUUCAGGAGCCACGCCGCCUGGCCCUGGGUUGUGGAGGUGCAGCUUGUCGGCUGACUUAGUGUGUGGACCGUCACUCACUGACGGAGUCACUCAGCCACCUGCAGGGAUUGUGAGGAUUAGAAUAGUAGGCGUUGGAAAUACCCAUGGCUGUCAAGUAACACGAUCAGCCAGACACCAUGAAAUUCUGGUGUGGAGCUGUGACGGAAUUUUUUUUACCCAAAGAGCAAACUGGGAUUCAGAAUCCUACAAUGCUUUUCUCCCAGUCUGGCCUAUUUCUGCCUCAUCCAGCACCCAGAGACCCAGAUUGCACCCUUGCUCUCCACACCCAGAUCAUCUCAGCGCUGUGUUUAGUUUUCAGAGUGAAGACUGUUGUCUGUCUCCUUUAGUGAGUUGAAGUCACCUUGAGGCUGUCACCAUUACAAUGGUCUUGUAUUCUUCAGCAGCCAGAGCAGUAGUUUCAAAGAGUGGCCCAUGCCGUUCCUUGUGUCACCUUCCUGGGACCCUCACUGAAGCUAAAGGACAAAGGUCAUUUCCACUCACAGUCUUAGAGGUUCACGGUGCAAGACCGGGAGGUCUCCUGGGUCUGGCGUCUGAGAGCAUGGUAGGUGAUGCACCAAGUGCAGGGGAGGCUCACAGGAGAGCCCGUAUGCGUGCUCGUCCCCUGUGGCUGUGUGGUCUCUGCUUUCAGAGCCCCCUGACUCACUCCUGGGCCCACACGCACAAUCCAGCCCAAUUUAAUCACUUCCCAAGACCCCACAUUCCGACACCCAAACACUCCGGCUGUGCCGAGCUUCUGCUCUUGGUCUCCCUGGUAACUUGUUUCCUGGAAGCAGCUCCAGGCCUCUUCCUUCUUCCUGAGCUUCCAGUCUUCCCUUGCCUUUACUUGCAGAGCUCUUGCUCUCCUUGUGCGCAGGGGCUCUUCCCGUCCCUGAGGUUUUCACCAAGAGAGCACCUUCCUUGCCCGCUCUGUGCACACAGCCUCCUGGCCCUCCACCGUGCCCUGCACUCACCUGCCGCGUUUGCUUCAGUCUCUGAUAGGCACAGGCCCUCCCUUGCAUUUUCUCACCUAUUGUUAGUCUUUGCCCAGCUCUUGUGAGCAUCCCAGAGGCAGGGGCUACAUAUGCUGUUUCUGCUGUGUUCAUCAGAUGUCCAGAAUGCUUCCUGGGAAGUGUUUGAUGAGUGAAUAUCAGCAGACACUGGAGCUCAUUAAUUCAUUCAACUAUGCUAGCUAUGAAGGCGUCAGAGAGCAGCACUCAGGGAAGGAGGUGUUUGUCAGCUGUUCAGGUGCCCGAGUCUCUGAUUGGAAUUUCUGGAUCUACUCCCAAUUCUAGCUUCCUGCCAGGGAACACCUUGGGAGGCACCAGAUGAUAGCUCAAGUCCUUAGACUCCUGCCACCCACAUGGGAGACCUAGAUUGAGUUCCAAGCUUCCAGCCUAGCCAAGUCCCAACCACUGCUGGCAUUUGGAGAGUGAACUGGCAGAUGAGAGCUCUCGUGUGCGCGCGCUCGCUCUCGCUCUCACUCUCUCCUUCUGCGUCUUGAAGGUUUUAAUGAUGGAGGCAUGCAUUCCUGUGCAUGUGUGAGUCUGUACUUUGCCUGGUCUGGUGUGGCUCAUCUGUGGGUUUUAUCAGUCCUCCAGAAGUGAUGUCAGUCGAUUCUUCACCAACAGCAGAGCCCACACCACGGGAAGAGUUGCCUCCUCGGCGUGUUAUUGGCUGCCUGAUCCUCUGGAGGAGGCGUUGAGGGGUGUCCUUCUCGGCACUAGCGGAUGCUUGCCAUGGCUCUUUGCAUUUCUCGUUGCCUGGCCGAGGAUUUAUGCUGGACUUGUUAAACAGAGUCAGACACCUCUCCAUGCCACGCAGGGUGCUCCUCUCUCUACUGCCAGCUCCUCACACACAUGUAUUGCUCCCUGCAAGACGAAGCCACGUUCAGCUGCAUUUUUUCCCUUGUCUUGGAAAUGUAAGCUGAAGGGACUUCCCAGAGUUUCCCUGUCAGUUUGUCUUGUCCUAUCCAGCAGCUCCCAGAAGGGAUUAGAAUUUCCUUGGUGAAUUUAAUUGAUAUUCGUUCUACAAAGAAACUCUUACCCAUGUUUCUUAAUCCCUUUUAAGAUAUCAUGAAUUAUUUUUGUAAGUAUAAGCAAGCAUUUUGUUCCCAUUUUGCAAAAUCUGUAUGUCGUUAUGCACAUUGUGGAGUUACUCCAUCUCAGUAAGUUGUUUAUCAAUUAAAUCUCUGCUGAAGUUCUUCGGGAAACAAGCACACUUUAAAAAGCCUUGGCAUUGGCUAAUCUGAAUACAGCACAGCUAUGUGAGGCCCUGAGUUAGGUGCUUUUGUAUCACUACCUUGCUUGGUUCAUAUGUGUACUGCUUUUUUCUGAUACACAUGAGCACAAGGAACAAAACAGAUUCCCAGUGUCCCAUCUCUCAGAGAUGCCACUGUUAGUAGUUUGGAAGCCAGUUUUGUCUUUUAUCUACAGGUGUAGUGCCUGUGUACCUUCUUAAAUUAAAUUUAAUCAUGCUGUCAGUGUUUUGAUGUUAAUAAGAUUAGCAAUUUAGUGUGCAGAUUUCUUACAUCCAUAUUUCACAGAGUAUAGUGGGAUUACUGCAUUCCAUAGACUAGAGAAACUGCUACUUAUUUAUCCAUAUUUGGUUGGAAAAGUAGGUUCUUUCCAAAAUUUCACUCCAAAAAUAAUGCGUGCUAUUCUCGGCUUUUUGGCUAAGAUCAAGUGUAAAAAAAGGCGUACUGCAGCAGUGGUUGCAACCCUGUCAGAUGAUGUCCUGGUGGGUACGUUCUGAAUGGGGGGUUGUGAGGCCCACAUUCUGCGCAUGUGAACACUGCAGGCGUAUCAUCAGAUUGUCUCUGAACACAUGUACCAGCUCACACACCCGCCACAAAGUGCGUGGUGAGGUUGGGUCUCUGGAUUCUUGUCUCUUUUUGUCAGUCAGUUUUAUGGGUUUAGAGGUGGAUGAUUGGCAGAUAGGUGAGUGGAGCUCUGUGUCUUUGUCCUUCGUGUCAUGUGAGGUCUCCCCCUUCACGAUUUCUAGGUGCACACUGCAGUCGUGUUAAGUGGAUUCACAGUGUUGUACAGUAUGUUGUACAGAUCUGCAGUAUGUGUUGUUCUUGUGUAGUGGAGACACGAAACCCACUGAACAGCAGCUCUGUUUCUCUCUACUCAGCCCCUGCAACAGCCGUUCUCUCCUUUUUCUACAAGUUUGAUGAUUUCAUACACCUUAUACAAGGGCAGUCUGUCACGUAUCUGUUGGCAUUUUUUUCCUUUGUGAAUUUCUUAUUAAUGUCCUUUGGCCCCUUUAUUUAUUUGGGCUGUUAGUGUUUUUGUUCUUGAUUUUUGAUGAUUUAUUUGUGUUUUUAGGGUCUCUUUUAGAUGAGAGAAAAUUGUCAUCAGGUUCAGACUCCCCUAGGAGCCCUUGCCUUAACCGUAGGCUGGCAGCCAGUUACACCUGCCCGCCCAUGGCUCUGGGGCUCAUGAAGUGAGCAGUGGGAAAACCAGCAGUGACCUCACUUGUAGACCUUUUCUGGCUUUAUAGAAACUAGACAAGAAAGGCAGUAUUAGCCUCCCUUCACAGAGAAAUUUGUCUUUCGGCCUGGCUUAUUUUACUUAGCAUAAUGAUCUCCAGUUCCAUCCAUUUUGCUGCAAAUGUCAGGGUUUUAUUCUGUUUAUGCUGAGUAAUAUAUACGACAUUUUCUUCAUCCAGUCAUCAGUUGGUGGCUGUCGUUGCUGUUGUGUGUUGGGCUGUUACAGACAUGAGGGUACAGAACUAUUUCAUGUUCUGGUUCUACUUCCUGUAGCUGUUUUCUCACAGGUGGGAGGGCUGGGUCCUGUGGCAGAUAGAUUUCUGGUUUUUGAGGAGUCUCCAUACUGUUAUCAUAAUGGUUGUAUUUGGUAUUCCCAGCAACAGUGUUGUAGGAUGAUGUUUUCUCCAUAACCUCACCAGCCUUUGUUGAUUUUUGAUUUUGGGUAAUAGCCCUUCUAAAUGGGAUAAAUUAAUCACUGCAGUGUAGUUUCUGUUUGUAUUUUCUUGAUCCCUAGUGGUCCUGGACAUUUUAAAAAAUAAUUAUUUAAGGUAUACAGGUUUCAUGUAUUUAAUGUAUACAGAUUUAGGAACAUAGUGUUACUUCCCACUGUACCCUCCCUCCCAGCCACGAUACCACCCUUCCUCCUCCUUCCUCUCCAAUUCCCUCUCUUAAUUUUUACAAUGGUCUACUUUCAGUUGAAUUUAUACUCAUAAACUUAACUGUACACUAAGUCAAUAGUUCAACAAAUAGUAAGGAGGAAAAAAACACUGUUCCUCAAAAGUAUAGACAAGGGCUAUGAACAAUCGUUGAAUCUCAAAAUGUCAAUUUCACUCUUAGGCAUUACAUUUUGGUAUUUUAUUGGUUACCACAAAUCAGGAGAAAUGUGAUAUUUGCAUUUGGGGAACUGUAUUAUUUCAUAAGUGUAAUGGUUUCCAGUUGCAUGCAUUUUGUAGCAGAAGACAGGAUUUCAUUCUUUUUCUUGGUGGAGUCGUAUUCCAUAGUAUAUAUAUAUGAUCCUGAGCAUCUUUUCUUAUUUAUCUGUUUGCCAGUCGUAUUUAUUCCUUGGAAGAGAGUCUCUUCGUAUCCUUUUACUAGUUCUUACCUGGGUUGUUUUGUGGUUGUUGAGUUUCUUGAGUUCCUUGUAUAUUCCGGAUAUUAAUCCUUUUACUUCCUGCAUUUUUUAUGUGUAUUUUCUCCCAUUCUGUAACUUGUCUCUUCACUUGGUUUAUUGAUUCUUCUGUAAUCCCAUUUCACUGUUUUUUUGCCUCUGUUGUCUGCUUUGGGGGUCUUAUACAUCAUCAGUGUUUCCCCUAUGCGUUCUUCUAGGAGCUUGAUAGUUACAGGUCUUAAGUUUAAAUCCUUAAUCCAUUUUGAGUUGAUUUUUAUGUAAAGUGUAAGGUAGGGGUCUUGUUUCAAUCCUAUGCAUGUAGAAAUUCAAUUUUCCUGACAUUGUUUGAAGAGACUGUCAUUUCUCCAGGAAAUGUAGAUCCAUGGAUUUACUUGUAGGGAUUUGGUACCAUUCCAUUCAUCCGUAUGUCUGUUUUUAUGCCACUACCAUGCUGUUUUGGUUAUAACUGCCCUGUGAUAUGCUUUGAAAUCUGGUAUUGUGAUGCCACCUUCUUUGUUUUUAUUACGAUUGCUUUGAUUAUUGAGGUUUUCUGUUUUCCAUAUGAAUUUCAGUGUCUUUUCUAGUUCUGUGAAGAAUGUCCUUGGAAUUUUUAAAAAAGAUUUUAUUUUUUCUAUUUGAGGGGCAGAGUUAGAGACGGAGAGUGAGAGUGACAGAGAGAAAAGUCUUCCAUCUGUAUUUCAGUCCCACAGUGGUUGCAAUGACUGGAGCUGAGCUGAACUGAAGCCAGGAGCUUCUUCUGGGUCUCCCACACGGGUGCAGGGGCCCAAGGACUUGGGCCAUCUUCCACUGCUCUACCAGGCCAUAGCAGAGAGCUAGAUCAGAAGAGGAGCAGCUGGGACAGGAAUUAUCACCCAAACAAGAUGCCUGCACUGCAGGCGGAUGAUUAGCUCACUCUACCACAGUGUUGGCCCUGUCCUUGGAAUUUUGAUGGGUAUUUCAUUGAAUCUGUAAUUGCUUUGAGUGGUAUUGGCAUUUUAACAUAUUAAUUAUUCCAACCCAUGAACAUGGAAGUUUUUCCCAUUUAUUUUUGUCUUCUCUUCUUUCAUUAUUUUUUUUUUUAAUUUUCAUUCUGGAGAUCUUUUAAAUCCUUAGUUAAAUUUAUCCAUGAUAUUUAAUUUUUUUUACCUAUUGAGAAUGGGGUUGUUCUUAUAAAUUGUUUAUCAACCACAUUGUUGUUAUUUUAUGAAACUGCUGUUGAUUUUUGUGUGUUGAUUUUUUAUCCUGCAUCUCUACCAAAUUAUCUUACAGUUCUGCUUUCUUUUUUUUUUUUAAGAUUUAUUUUAUUGACUUCAAAGAGUUACACAGAGAGAGAAGGAGAGGCAGAGGUGGGGGGUCUUCUAUCUGCUGGUUCACUCCCCAAAUGGCUGCCAUGGCCAGAGCUGCACUGAUCCAAGCCAGGAGCCAGGAGCUUCCUCCUGGUCUUCCCAUGCAGGUGCAGGGGCCCAAGGACUUGGUCCAUCUUCUACUGCUUUCCCAGGCCAUAGCAGAGAGCUGGAUCAGAAGUGGAGCAGCCGGAACUUGAACCGGUGCCCAUAUGGGGUGCCGGCACUGCAGGCACCGGCUUUACCCACUAUGCCACAGUGCCAGCCCCAUUUCUACUGCUUUCUUAGUGGAAUCUUUUGGUUCCCCUAUAUGAGCUUAUCAUCUGCAAAUGGGGAUAAUUUGACUUCCUCUUUUCCAAUUUUUUUUAAGAUUUAUUUAUUUAUUUGAAAGAGUUACACAGAAAGAGGAGAGACAGAGAGAGAGAGAGAGAAGUGAGAGAGAGAGGUGUUCCAUCUGCUGGUUCACUCCUCAGUUGGUCACACCAGCCAGAGCUGCACGGAUCCAAAGCCAGGAGUCAGGUGCUUCUUCCAGGUCUCCCACACGGGUGCAGAGGCCCAAGGACUUGGGCAGUCUUCUACUGCUUUCCUAGGCCAUAGCUGAGAGCUGGAUCGGAAGUGGAAUAACUGGGACUGGAAGCGUCACUCAUAAGGGAUGCUGGCACUGCAGGUAGCGGCUUUACCCGCUACGCCACAGCAGGGCCCCCCUCCUUUCCAGUUUGUAACCCUUGGUUUCUUUUUCCUGCCUAUGGCUCUUGCUAACACUUCCAGAAUUACCUUGAACAGUAGUGGUGAGAGUAAGCAUCCUGGUCUGAAUCCAGCCCAUAUUAGAAAUGCUUCUAGCUUUUCUCUGUUCAGAAUGAUGCUUGCUAUGGACUUGUCAAGUAUUUCCUUUACUGUGUGAAGUUAAGUAUGUUCCUUCUAUACUAAACUAUUUUUUUAAAUUAUGAAAUGUCAUGUUUUAUCAAAUACUUUCUCUGCAUCUGUUGACAAAAUCACAUUGUUUUUUACCCUUCAUUUCUGCUGAUGUGAUCUAUGAUGUUAAUGGUGUGUGGUGAACCAUCCCUGCAUCCUUGGAUAAAUCCCACUUGGCAGGAUGAAUGAUGUUUCUGAUACCUUGUUUAAUUUGAAUUCGCUAGUGUUUUUUGAGGAUUUCUACGUGAGGGAUAUUUGCGUGUAUUUCUCAGUUUUCAUUGUAUAUUUUGUUUUGGAAUUAAGACAAUGCUGGUCCUACAGAAUGAGUUUGAAAUGGUUCACUCCCUUUCAGUUGUUUUGGGUAGUUCCGGAAGAACUGGUGCUUGGUAGAACUCAGAGGACAGCCUCUGGUCCUGGCAUUUGGUUCUGGGAGGCUCUGUACUGCUGGCUGGCUCAGUCGGGAUGAUUCUUAAUUCAAGUUUUCUGUGUCUUCCUGAGUAAAUUCUGGUAGAUUAUUCGUGUUGAGAAAUCUAACCUUUUCCUCUACUUCUUCUAGUUGUUGCAUGUAGUUAUUUGUAAUAGUUCCUAAUGAUUCAUUGUAUUUCUGUGAUAUCAGUUAUAAUAUCUCCUUUGUCAUCAAUGAUUUUAUUUAUUUGAGCCUUCUCUCUGUUUUCCUGGUUAGUUGGGCUAAUGGUUUAUCAAUUUUGUUAAUUUUUUUAAACAGCUUUUCAUUUCAUUGAUCUUUUGGUUUUUUAAAUUUCUGUUUUGUUUAUUCUUUAACUUUUAUUUCCUUCCUUCUACUAGUUUGGGGUUUGGUUUGUUGUUGGUGUACUAGGCCUGUGAGAUGCAUUGCUUGAUUAUUUAUUUGUUAUGUUUCCACUUUUUAUAUAUGCACUUAGUGCCAUCAAUUUUCCUCUUAGCACCACUUUAACUGUAUCACAUAAGUUUUGAUAUGUUGUGUGUUCAUUUUCAUUUGUUUUGAGGAAUUUUUAAAUUUCCCUUUUGACUUCUUCGAUAACCCACCAUUCAUUCGGGAGCAUGCCAUUCAGUCUCCAUGUAUUUGUAUAUUUUUUAUUGUUGUUAAUUUCCAACUUAAUUCCAUUGUGGUCAGAAAAGACACAUGAUAUUAUUCCAGUUGUUUUCUUAAAUUUUAUUUAAGGUAUAUAAAUUUCAUGUAUUUCCUAUAUACACCUUCAGGAACAUAAAAAAAUUCUUGAAACUGAUUUUAUAGCCUAGUAUAUGGUCUGUUCUAGAAAAUAUUACAUGAACUGAUAAAAACAAUGUGCAUUCUGCUGGAGGUGGAAUGUUCUGUAGAUGUCUGUUAGGUCCAUUUGAUCAGUACUGUAUCUAAGCUCUGUUAUUCCUUUGUUGAUUUUUUUGUCUGGUUGAUUUUUUUGUCUGAUUGAUCUGUCCAUCAUUGAAAGUGGAGCGCUGAAUUCCCCCAGACCUAUUGCGUUGGGGUUUGUGUCUCCCUUUAUAGCCUUUAAUAUUUGUUUUAUAAAGCUGGGUGCCCUAGAAUUACUUGCAAAUAUAUUAACCGUAGACACAUCUUCUUUGUGUCUUUUGAGCAGUUUUUGUGUUGAAGUCUGUUCUGUCUGGUAUGGGGGUAGCUACUCUGGAUUGCUCAUGCUUUCUAUUUGCGUGGGUAUCUUUCUCCAUUAUCUCAUUUUUAGCCUGUUUGUCUUUACUGGGGAAGUGUGUCUCUUAUACGUAGCAUUUACAUUUAGGUGGGUCUUUUUUUUUUUAAUCUGCUCAGCCAAUCUAUAUUUGUUAAUCAGGGUUUUAGUCUGUUUACACUGAAGGUUAUUAUUAAUAAAUAAUAACCUGGACCUGUUAUUUUCCCAUAAAAAUCCCUGUUGUUUAUUUUAAAUAACCUUUUGUUUCUUUACUAGUAGGCUUUCUACAUUGAUAUUCUUUCUCUGUUUGUGUAGUACAUCUUGAAGUAUCAUGUUUUUUAAGAAUAAUUUUAUUUAUUUGAAAGGCAGAGUUACAGAGAGAAGUAGAGCCAGAGGUCUUCCAUUCUGGUGGUUCACUCCUCAAAGGACUGCAAUGGCCAGAGCGGAGCUGAUCCGAAGCCAGGAGCCAGGCGCUUCUUCCAGGUCUCCCACGCGGGUGCAGGGGCCCAAGGACUUGGGCCAUCUUCCACUGCUUCCCCAGGCUACAGCAGAGAGCUGGAUUGGAAGAGGAGCACCAGGACUCAAACUGGCACCCAUAUGGGAUGCCUGCAGUGCAGGCUGGGGCUUUAACCCACUGUACCACAGCAAUGGCCCCUUGAAGUAUCAUUUGUAAGACUGACCAGGUGGUGACAUAUUCUUUGAACUUUUUGCUAGUUUUGGAAGGUCUUUAUUUGAUUUUUAGUUAUGAAUGAGAGCCACAAUGAAUAAAUAUUCUGAGUUUGUGGUUUUUCUUUUCCUUUAGCAAUUAUUUGUAUUUCUCACUUUCUUCCUCCUCUAGGAUUUUGUUAAGAAAUCCGCUGUCAAGGCAGUGGGUGUCCUUUAAAAGUGAACUGCAACUUUUCUUCUGCAAAUCAUAGGAUAUUCUCCUUAAGUCUUACUUUUGAAAUUGUGACUAUACUGUGUUGUGGACCGGGUCUUUUCGGAUCAUGCUUAUUUGGAGUUCCCCUGCAUUUCCUAUAUUUGGGUAUCCAUCUUUCUCUAAAUUGGGAAAUCCUUCUGCUAUUAUUUCACUGAAUAGAUUUCUAAGCUACUCUUUUUCUCCACACCUUCAGGAAUUCCCCAGGGCUCAUAUGUUGGAUCCUGUAAUGGUAUUGCAGAAAUAACUGGCUCUGUUGGCAUUGUUUUGUUUGUUUGUUUGUUUGUUUGUCAUUUUUCAAAAUAUGCGUCUUCUAGAUCGUACAUCCUUUCUUCUUCUGACUUAUCUAGUCUGUUGUUGAGACUUUCCACUUUUUUUAUUUGACUUAGUAGGUUCUUAAUUUCUAAUAUUUCUGUUUGGUUCUUUUUUGGUAUUUGUAUCUCUGCUGAAUUUCUCAUCCGUUUAGUUUAACUGUUUGUCUACAUUCUCCUGUUAUCUCUUUGGGUAGCCUUGCGAUAAUUCUUCUGAGUUACUUCUCCGGCACCUCCUUAGCCUCCCUUUCUUCACAGUCUGGUAUACCGUGUCACUGUAUCCUUCUGUGGAGUCUGUUGACUUGCUCAUUCAUGUUUCUUUUAUUUCUGUGAUGCUUUUGCACACAGAAAGAUCACUUGUUUCUAGUGCUCCUAGAGGAGGGUUCUGUGGAGUGAAGGCUUCUCCCUGGGUACGUGCUCUUGGACAAUGUUUGGUAGAGUGUAGUGUAAUCUCCGUGUACCUUUAUUUGCUGCAGUCGGUGGUACCCAUUGUAAGGAUUUGGGCUGUUCCGAUGGCUGCGUGUGGUCACUGAGAUCCCUGUUGCGAAGGCCACCAGCCUUCUCUCUCUGGAGGGACUGGGGUGAUGAGCUUCCCAGCUGCUGGGAGCAUGCCUGGUUGGUGCUGGUGCUGUGGGUGUGCCAGUAUCCAUGCCAGCAGCCAGAUCUCCAGGAGCCAUAUGGACUAGAGACUCCUAGCCAGUGCCCAGAUCCGUAGCUCGAAGUGUCACAUUGAUGCUGGGUGGAGGAGGCAGGUCCCACGGCAGGUGAGAGGGUGGCUGGGUCUGUGAGAAUGGCUUUGGCUGUGUGAUAGCAGGGCAGUCAUGGUCACUCUCUGUGAGCUUCCUGCCUGAUUGGGUUGGGUGCAGAAACCCUGGGCCUGAGCAAAAGUGAGCAGCAGCAUGUAAAAUCUGGAAGCUUCCAAGCGAGGCUUUAAGAGCCCCGUGCUGGGUCUGAGUGAAACACAGAAAUUCUGGCCCAGAGAAACCACUAAGCACUAGCACUGUGCUGUGUUAGGUCUGGCACAGGGAGCCCAGUUCAAAUCCCAUUGAGCAAAGUCUUGCCUCUCUAGGUGAGACACAUAAGGCAUAGGCCACAGAACCGAGGGCAUGUGCUGGAUGGGGCCCGAGAGCCCUGGCCACUGUUCAUGGGAGUAACAGCACCUCUGGCUGCCAUCAGUAGGGUGCUGCCAGCUGGGGUGGUGUUUUGUCCCCCACCCUUCCCUAUGCUGGUGGGAGCAGGCAGUUUACUGUUGAGAGUGUGCACUGUCCACCCCUACUGUGAGCUGUGUGCCUGGGUAGGAGGACUGAAUGUGGACAGGAGCCCUAAGUCCCUGUGGGCACUGGUUGUGGCUGCAGCCUGCAGUGUUUCCAGUGGUUGGGGGAGGGGAGGAGGCAGAGAGGACGAUGAUUACCAUUUCUGACUGGGCAGGACGCCUGCUUCCAGAAUCCCAGGGGCUGGCUAUCCCAGCCGCCCUGCUUCCACCAUCUGUGAGGUGCAAAGUCCUGUGUGGGCUUGCGUGCCGAUGGCAUGCCAGGUCGCCAUUGCUGUUGGGCCCACAAGGCUUAUGGGGCUUAGUCUGGGCCCCCAGGAAGAAGCAAGGGCCCCCGUGCUUUGGGGCUGGGUGGUGUCUGGGGAGGGCCCCUGUGCUGUGG